UUUAAUAAUCUUUAAACUCUCACAAUUCAUUUUACUCUCAAAUUCCAAAAUCCCCAACAUCUUCAAUUCAAAAGCAAACAGAAGAUUCAAAAGCAAACUUUGAUCAGCAAGCCAAAUUUGAUUUCCACAGCAGCAAAUUUUGAAGCAGCAAACUUUGAAGCAACAAAGUUUGAUUGAUCUAUUUUCACACUUUCACACGUUCUAUGUCAAAUAUUUCAAUCUAUUUAAACAUCAAUGUAUCAUUCUCAAAUUCACAAAUCAACAAAAAUUCACUCAAAUAUUUCCAAUUCGCAGCAACUGAUUUACUUCACUCAUUCAAGCUGGUAAUUUUAAUAACUUUUGAAAAGUUAUUUCAUUUCAAGCAUAUCAACAAUUUUCUGCAUUUUCGCCAAAACCAAGGCUAAACAUCAAAAACUUUGUUUUCAAAAUCCAAUCAUGCAUACAUCUAUUUUUCUGUAAUUUAUAUAUUGCUAAAUACAUGAAAAAGAAAAUAGAAUAAAUCUUAUAUAUUACAUAGGAUAAAAGAAAAGGGUUAGAGAUGAAGAAGGAAUUCUGGAGUGUUGCCGCCGGCGCUACGCGCCACGGCGACCUGAGAGGUAGGGGACAAGGGCGGCGGCGCGGUGGCCACGGCCGCUGCUGUGCUGUUCUGAUCGGGGCAGCGAGAAAGGGGCCUGGGCGGCGCCGCUGUCGACGCAGGGGCGGCGAUGGUGGUACUGCUAUCGGCUAGAAGGGAGAAGGAAGGUGAGGGUGACGCCGGGCAGGAGGUGGUGGCGGCGAGGGUCGCCGGAAAUGGAGGCGCGGCCGCGGCUUGGCGCGGCGAUGAGAGGGGUAGAAGGGAGACAACAGCAGAUGAGGAAAAAGGAGAGUGAGGGAGGGAAGUCGAUGAAGGGGAAGAGAGAGGACAGGGGGAGGCAGAGUCGCCGGCCGUCCGGUGGCGCGGUGGUAGGAGGCCGAGAGGGAGAGAGAGGGGUGGAGAGAAGAGAGAGAGCGGCAGUGAGAGGGAGAGUGAGGUUAUGCGUGGGUGUUGAGGUAUGAGAUUUAAUUAGGGAUUGUUAGAUGGGCUUAGGAAUGGGCUUUAUUUGGGUCUUAAUUUUAUUAAUUGAAUUGGGCUUCUAAUUUAGUUAAUUCUUUUAAGUAGUGAGCAUAAUUUAUUUAAGCCCAUAGUUACUCUUUUAAUUAUUAUUCCCAUUUCAGAUUUUCUAAAAAAAAAACUUAUAUAAAUAAUUUUCUCAAGUUUAAUUAUAUUUAAAAUAUUUUAAUUAAGUCCUUAUGUUUUAUUAUUUAAAUUUAUCUGACUAGGUGCGGCGCGACUAGGAUAUGAAUUUUAAUUGUAUUACUCAAGUUAGCAUUCAAGUUGAAGUUCAAGUUCAAGUUAAAUUUUCAGGUGUGGGACUUAUUUCAGUACAUGCACGUGGUUAAUAUUUGUCCAUUUUAAUAUUAUGUGUUUACCGUAUGUGUUGUAAAAAUAUUUAUCGCUAGGGGCCAGCAUAAUUGGUCCAGGACUUCACCGUCUUUGGUAUGCCACAAUGCGAUUUCAUGUUACAGGGUUGCAACCAUUAUAUUGUCGCCAGGGAUCCAUAUAUAGGGUCCGGGACAUUAAAGUCCUUGGAGUUGCCACAGUGCGUAUGGAAGUUAUGUUACGUUAUGACAAUAUGUGUUACCAUUUUAUUAACAUGGACAAUUAUUGCAUGUUCCCACACUGAGUGUACCCUGUAUGCUCAUCCCAUAUUCAACAGUUUCAGGUGAUUGAUAUCGGAGGCGCGUGGAGAGUCGAAUGGGCGCGUCGAAUCUAUUUAAAAUAAAUGUUUCUUAAAACAUAUUAUGUUAUUUCAUGUUAUAUCUUUUGGUUAUGUAAACUCUGAA
rnacentral:lncRNA from 1 species